rnacentral:rRNA from 1 species
UAGGGAAUCUUCCGCAAUGGGCGAAAGCUUGACGGAGCAACGCCGCGUGAGUGAUGAAGGUCUUCGGAUCGUAAAACUCUGUUAUUAGGGAAGAACAAAUGUGUAAGUAACUAUGCACGUCUUGACGGUACCUAAUCAGAAAGCCACGGCUAACUACGUGCCAGCAGCCGCGGUAAUACGUAGGUGGCAAGCGUUAUCCGGAAUUAUUGGGCGUAAAGCGCGCGUAGGCGGUUUUUUAAGUCUGAUGUGAAAGCCCACGGCUCAACCGUGGAGGGUCAUUGGAAACUGGAAAACUUGAGUGCAGAAGAGGAAAGUGGGAUUCCAUGUGUAGCGGUGAAAUGCGCAGAGAUAUGGAGGAACACCAGUGGCGAAGGCGACUUUCUGGUCUGUAACUGACGCUGAUGUGCGAAAGCGUGGGGAUCAAACAGG